UGAGAAAACAACAAAAAAAGGAUAACUAACAAAAGCCCCAUUCUCCAGCUCUUGCCCCGGCCAGCGCUUCAGCACGCCUUGUCUCACCCCUGAAGGAAGAGCUUCAUCCCUUUCCAGUGAAGCCUGCUUGCCCUGUAUGAUGCAGGGUCAAAGUAUGAGGUGCUCCUCAACUACCCAAUCCACCGGUGCAUCAUGAGUCCUCAACAUCCAUGUAAACCACUUUUCCUAUAAAGAGCAGAUGCAUGAGAACAAACCCAUUUGAAAGGAACACUUUGGCUUCAUGGUUCUCAUAGAAUUCUAAUGAGGAAUGGGUCAUUUUCUGGCACUAGGUAAGUGAUUCUGACAUAACCUGGACCUGUAUAAUCAUAUGAUUAGAGCAUUUAGGGAGAAAAUGUAUCACAGAAAAUGAUAGUAAUAAUAAUUUAUCAGUAAUAAAGUAAAUAUGCAUAGAGA
rnacentral:lncRNA from 10 species